AUUGAACGCUGGCGGCAUGCUUUACACAUGCAAGUCGAACGGUAACAGGCCGCAAGGUGCUGACGAGUGGCGAACGGGUGAGUAAUGCAUCGGAACGUGCCCAGUCGUGGGGGAUGACUACUCGAAAGAGUAGCUAAUACCGCAUACGAUCUAUGGAUGAAAGCGGGGGACCGUAAGGCCUCGCGCGAUUGGAGCGGCCGAUGUCAGAUUAGGUAGUUGGUGGGGUAAAGGCUCACCAAGCCAACGAUCUGUAGCUGGUCUGAGAGGACGACCAGCCACACUGGGACUGAGACACGGCCCAGACUCCUACGGGAGGCAGCAGUGGGGAAUUUUGGACAAUGGGCGCAAGCCUGAUCCAGCAAUGCCGCGUGCAGGAAGAAGGCCUUCGGGUUGUAAACUGCUUUUGUACGGAACGAAACGGCUCUGGUUAAUACCCGGGGCUAAUGGCGGUACCGUAAGAAUAAGCACCGGCUAACUACGUG
rnacentral:rRNA from 1 species